rnacentral:rRNA from 1 species
GACGAACGCUGGCGGCGUGCCUAAUACAUGCAAGUCGAACGCAGCUUCUUUCAACGUAGCUUGCUACACCGAAAGAACGUGAGUGGCGAACGGGUGAGUAACACGUUCGUAACCUGCCCAUCAGCGGGGGAUAACACCUAGAAACAGGUGCUACUACCGCAUAAUUCCAUUUCCCGCAUGGUAGCUGGAUGAAAGGCGCUUUUGCGUCCCUGAUGUUUGGACCCGCGGUGCAUUAGCUCGCUGGUGGGGUAACGGCCUACCCAGGCUGCGAAGGAUAGGCGAACUGGCAGGGUGAACGGCCAGACUGGGACUGAGACACGGCCCAGACGGCUACGGGAGGCAGCAGUAGGGAAUGUUCGGCAAUGGACGCAAGUCGGGCCGAGCAGCGCCGGGUGAGUGGAGAAGGGGUUCGGAUUGUAAAACUCGGUUGUUAGAGAAGAACAAGGAUGAGAGUGGAAAGUUCAGCCCUUGACGGUAUCUAACCAGAAAGCCACGGCUAACUACGUG